UUUCGCCUAAAUGCAUUGUGGGUUUCUUUUAAAAUGCUUGCUAUUUGCGUUUUAAACUCUCCCGCCUAUUCGAAGUGUUUUAUUGCUAAAAAGAUAUGGAUUUUAGAUAACUGCAAGACACGUACAGGUAGAGUUUCCACCCGUCUCGUAAAGUAACGUUAGUCGAUCGUCCCGUGUUUAUGAAUGAAAUUAUGUCGUGUUUCAAAUCGACACUGUACACUGUUUGUCCCAUUAUUUCAACAUGUUUGACGUUCAGAUCAUUCAAGUGGACCCUGCCAGCAUUAUAAAUUUCUUCAGAUCACAUACAUCGAUCCAUCUCCUACAACAACCUUUAGUGUCCAACAGCUGUUUAUCAGCAGCUCUCUCUCUCUCUCUCUCUCUCUCUCUCUCAGCUUUUCCUUGCCUAUUUUUCUGAACUGUUAUUCAUAAUUAAUUUACACAUUUUUGCUCUCUUCCUUUCUCUUUUUCAUCAUGGCAUAUUUUCAGAGCUCAGAAUUGAAUUUUGAUCGGUUAUGUCAAAAAGCUGCUAAUAUUAACAGCUAAAAAGGAAGGCCUGUCGAACUCUUGUCUUGUCUUGUUUGUGGAGAGGGAUGAAUUUGGCCAUCUUGUGUGUUUAUGGAGAAGACCAAAAGCUGCAAAGGCAAACAUUUCCAAUGGCAGAAACAGAGAGCUUGCAUGAUGGCCUUUUUCAGUUUUGUCAACUGAACGGCUACUAGUGAGGGUCAGCAAGUUUUUGUCAUGAUGAGCCCUCGCCAGGUAAGCCAAAAUGGAAGACCAAAAACACAAAGAAAAUCAAUCACAGCAAGCCAGUCAAACCAGUCCUGUUGGGAAUGAACAUGGUCUUCUUGUGCCCAAACAGAGAAGACCGAGAACUGAAAAUUUGCACAUUUCCAUUGCUCCUAGAAUGAGCAAAUCAGCUGUGCAUCAUCUCUGGAAUUUGGGCAGGAAAUGACCGAAUAUGGAGGAUGAAGCCAGUUGAUGAAGAUACCAAUUCAGUGGCCACCAAGUGCUGCACUGCUGCCUGAACCCAUCAGAUAUCUGCUGUGAAGACUGCAUUCACGAACAGCUCUACUGCGACAGCUCAGAUGUUACGGCCCAUAAAAGAUACUUACCAACUGAACAACUGCAAGAUAGUGGUGGAGGGAUUUUUUUAACUACAAGAAGAGUCAAGUUUUAAAUAGGACAAAUAUCGAAACUCUUUGGUCAUUUUUGAACGCGAUGCUACUGGUCUAAUCGGAUUCAAUGAUCUAUGCUAAGCUAUGCUAAAAGUGCUAUCGCCAGACCCGGAGAGCGGCUGAAUGGAUUCCAAAACGGUAAAACUCAACUUAUUAACUCUGGGGGAGUUGGAGAAUGAGCCUAUUUCCAAAAAAAGUGGAGUGUUCCUUUAAGGAUGGUGUUUGGUACAUACACCAUUUAAUUUUGUAAACAAUACAUAUAAUUACCAUGAUUGUUUUAAUUAAGACAUUAUCAUUAGGUCAUAUUAAUGAAGGCUGAAAGAUGCAUUAGAAGAGAAUGCAUGAAGUAAAUUGCUACAAGCACUUCAUGCAUACCUGAGGAUGAUUUACCAGGGAAAGAUCAACAUGAAUAUUAUAAUGAAGAUGAGCAUGUACAUUACUGAUGUCCAACACUUGAGUAGGACAAAGAUGCAAUUUAUUUGACAAGAGUUUUACAAAUUCAAGGUCUUUUAUGCUAUGAUUCUUGGCAAUGCACGAAUUGUAUGACUUUGCACAUAAACUACACACUGUCUGUACCUUGUCUUACUGAAUGACACAUUGGCGUAAUACUGUAAUAGUACAAUGAAGUGUCACAAUAUGUAUUGGUUGUUUAAUUUGGUGUCUUUGUUUACUGUCAGCACUGUAUUUUUGUUCUUGAUCUAAUUAAAUAAAUGGAGUCCGUUCC